UUUUUAUGUUACCCAGCGCGGCGAUUUCCUUGGGCGAAAGAUUUCCUUCCUAGCGCUGCAGCGAUUCAUCCGCGCGAACAGCCGAAUCAGACUGUUGAGCGGUUGUAUGCUGGCGCUGGCUCAACCCGCAGUCCUUUUUAAAAUGUCUAAUCUGAGAAAAAAAGGAAACACUAGCGGGCAGCACAUACAAGCACGGGCUCGUUCUAUGCGUAUGGGUAGGGCGGCGCCACCGCCGCUGAUCUACGUGGGGGCCGAUCUACUUCUCCGGCCAUCCGCCGCCGCCGGCCGGAUUCCUCCUACUCAUGUGCCUCUGAUUUGGAUCGAAGUCACGGCGGUAGUGGUGCGGCGGCAGCGGGCGAGGAGGCGAGGGUGGCGGCGAUGGGUGGUGAGGGCUGAAGAUGAGGUUGUCCUUGUAGGAGGAUGCCGGGGACGGGCAGCGCGAUGAGGGUGGUGCAUCGAAGUUGGAGACCGGCGUGUGUUUCGGCAAUGGCUGGAGGGGCAGCUGCGCGGUGGUGGGGAGCAGCGGGUCCGUGUCCAUGGCCGGACCAUCCGGGCUGGGGGUUUCUUCCCGGAUUGUUGAUGAAUAUACUUGGGGAUUCGUGAUUCUUGUGUCCCUUGAUGCGGUGCGAGAUUCAUUGGGAUUUGGGGCGAGGAAGAUGGGGGUGCGAUUUGGGGGGAUCAUGCCUCGGAUUCUUGGGGUCGCCGGGGAUGCGGUGAUUGAAGGAGAAGACGGUGGAGGGAGAGAGGGAGGGAGGAGGAGGGGGAGGCUUCGGAUUUCAAAAAGAGACUUGGCUCGUUCGAUACUGCCAAUUCCUUUGGUGCGGAUUUUGAGUUGUUAAGAACCCUUGAUUGAUGCAAAUCUUAAUUUUGUUUUAUGUGGAGCAUCAGUGUUGGGGAUAUCUUGUUAAACAUCCAGUUCCCCUGACAUGCAUGAACUGUUCAGUAUAGGAUGCCCAUCUUAUGCAGCUAUGUUUGCUUCGUUUACAUUGUUUUCUAUCAUGUGUUAUGUUUGCAACAUUUCCCUAUGCUCUGAUUGAUAAUAUGUAUUUUGAUGUUUUUGCCUAAUUUGUGUGUGCCUUUGUUUUGUUGGAACUUGUCAAAUCUUGGUCAGAAGGGAAUGUUAUCUCCUGAGAUUGGACAACUUACUAAUAUGCAUAUUCUGUAAGCAUAUUCUAUAGUUCCUCUGGUGACGUUUUUUUCUGAACACUUUGGUUUUGACAUAACAUGUUUCACGCUUUCAACCAUAAGAUAGUAUUUGGUAUUUCUGAAACUACCAACUGAAUAACAGUCAUUUUGCACUUCGAUAUAGGCUAUCAUGUUGAGCACAGUAGUAAAGCUGAAACUUCGUAGUGUGUAUGUUUUCCUGAUGAGGCUUAUGGCCUCAGCUUUUGAGCUGUCAAUUAACGAACAUCAGUUAACUUGGUGUAUGUUCUUUCUUCGAGUGUAGUUGGAUACAAGACAGGUGUUUCUUCUUGGAUCUAGGGGAGAAUACAAUUUUGCAUGGAUCAAAUUCAAGUACAUGAUUAUUUGACGUGUACUGCACAGGAACUUGUUCUAUGGUAUUAUCCCUAGAGAGAUGGGAGAUUUACGAGAGCUGAAGGUGUUGGAUCUGGGGUACAAUAACUUCAACGGAUCAAUUCCAUCAGAGCUAAUAAACAUUUUAUCCCUGGAAUUUAUCUUUCUUAAAAGAAACAUACUUUAUGGUGAUUUACCUCUUGAACUAAAUGAGCUCAUCAGUCUGUGUGAGUCUCAGGUUCGCCACGGCAGGACUUUCUCAAAUAGGAUGCCCGCUGCAAGGUUUGUCUAAGUUUUCUUCUACUUGCAUAUCUGAGAGUUAAACUCGUGAUUAUGCAAGGCUUGAGUUAAAUUUUCAAAUCAAGCAAGGAUUUGAGCAAGCUUGAUUUUGGUUAAAAAACCCCACCCUGUUCCUGUAAUCACAUGUAUGUUAAUGAUAUCUGAAAUAUUUGAGAAUUAUCUAUUUCGACUCAAGAAAUAUCAGACUUCUUUUAGGAACAUUUCCUCCACAAAAUGGUAAAUUAUAUCCGAGUCGGCAUCCCUGAAACCCAGCCCAAAUCCCCACAUAUAACCUCACUCCGGACGAACCCUAGACCCAAAUCUCUAGACAAUGCCAUGUUGAAAGAUAGGCUUGCGAAGAUUCGGCUCAAGAAUUCCUUAGGGUACUUCUGUCUUUAUCAUUUUUGUUCUCACACCUUGGGCAUUGUGUUUGCCCGCCGCAAUGCACGCGUCGACCCGCAGUCCUCAUAUUAAGUGAACCAGAAGCGGUACAUGCGAGAGAAAAGAAAAACAAACCCAACCACCAGCACGACCCUUCCUCUCGAUCCCAUCUGGACCUUUAGUAUUCUCGGGAUAUAUCUGAUUAUGAUGAUGUUCUGUAUUGCUCUCGAGCCGAUAACUUUUUGGACUGCUCGAUGUUGAUAACCAAUGAGACUGCUUUUUUGGUUGUUGGCUGGAGCCUGGAGCUAUCACUAUGACUGAAAUUUUCUUUUCACCAAAGUAAAUUUAUAUGGUCAUCAAAAACCAACGACUUGUCAACACUUGUCAGCAGUUUGCAAUUUGUAUUACAGUAUGCGUAAGCCAAUGGUCAGCCAUUGUUGUUUUAGUUAGGAAAUGUAGAAAACGUGUUCAUGAUUUAUGUAGAUUGCUCAGUCCCUUCAAACAGUAUUUGAUCUUGAGCGGACAAUCUAACUAUAUGUUUCCUUAUAGAAAAUUGACUAUAUGUUCCAUGAAUUGACUGAUUGGUUUGGCCCGAUCAGAUUAAAGUAGGUCUUGAUUUGAAGGUCCAGUUAGGGAGCUGGUGCUGGUUUGCUUGUUGUAAUACUAACUAUGCUAUUUAGACCGAGACAUGUCGUCUUUCUCAUUUCUCGACAUUUUCCUUUGCUGCCAAGUUUUUUCAUUCUAGGUUGUGGAAAAACGGAUGUAGCAUUCCUUCUACAAGUUGUCAUGAGCUGGGACAUAGAAGAAGAGAACCGACGAGAAGUUGCACAGCGGUUCGCUCCGGUGUCGCUGCCAAUGGCGUUGCGCAAAGUGUAGAUUGCAGGCUAGAUGCGUACAAGUUCGUCCUACGUCCACGAUGUCGAAGCAUAGAAAAUCAAGUUAAUUAGAUAGUAUAUCUGGUUAUGAAAGUUGUCUUUUGUGUAUGCAGUUUUGCCAUUAUUUUGUAAAAGCUUUUAGUUUUUGAUAAUGUAAUUGUCUUACUAAUAACACUUUUAAUCAAUUCGUGCCAAGGCUAUUAGCCAAGUUAUGCACAAAUUGUUCAUGUUUC